AGAUAAAAAUAUCAUAAAAGCGACUUCUUCGUAUGCUUGCAUAAAAGGAGAAGUCGCUUUUCAUGAUAUGCCCCAAAUGGAGCACGAAAGUACGCAACAGCGGACUGAAAGUGCGGAAUGCGGUGGAAACGCGAGAGCGCAAGGCGCGAAGCGUUUCUUUAUCG
rnacentral:sRNA from 1 species